rnacentral:misc_RNA from 1 species
AACCAUUCUCACCUGCGGCUAGACCUGCGGAGGGAUCAUUACCGAGUUUACAACUCCCAAACCCCUGUGAACAUACCUAUACGUUGCCUCGGCGGAUCAGCCCGCGCCCCGUAAAAAGGGACGGCCCGCCCGAGGACCCCUAAACUCUGUUUUUAGUGGAACUUCUGAGUAAAACAAACAAAUAAAUCAAAACUUUCAACAACGGAUCU